rnacentral:tRNA from 1 species
AUUUAUAUAGUUUAAUAAAAACACUAUAUUUUCAAUGUAGAAAUAAAAUAUCAUUUUUAUAAAUG